ACAGGCUGUGGAUGCCCAGCUUUGGCAAGUGGUGGGGAAGGUUUUUGUUGAGAGUGGAAGCACUGUGCGACCAUGGGAACUGCUAGGACUAAACUUCUCUUUGGCCCUGGAACGAGACUCACUGUUAAGCCACAUGUUACUCCAUCUCCUUCAGUCUACAGACUGGUCUCUAAAGACAAUGAGGAUAUGGAAAUGUGCCUUAUCACAGAUUACUCCCCUGAAAGUCUUACUUUUAACUCGGCUGAUAAGCACACAGAUGCUGUUGUGGAAGUGGCAACGUCUGAGAGCAAACCAGAAGCGAGCUAUGUGUCAACCUACUGGGCCAAGAAGGAUGAAAUGCAAUGCAGCGCAAAUCAUGAGGGCUUUGGAGAACUGCAGGGCGAGGAUCCUGAAAGCGGUGCCAGCGCUGUCUGUGUCACAGGGAUGUCUCUGCACUUCAGGACAGAUGAAAACCUGAACACACUGUCCUUAUCACAGCUGGGCCUGAAAAUAAUUCUAGCAAAAGGAAUAUUUUUUAAUGUGAUGAUGACGAUGCUAGCGUGGAAAAAAAAGGAGGAAAACAACCAGAUGGUGCCACCCUGAAGUACCAGAACUGAUGAAUCUUUACCAGAGCAUCCUGUGCAAGAGGGAACAGAGGCAUUCCUGGUGCCAGGGCUGGCAUUUGCUGCUUCCGUAGAUCACACCAGCUAUUGUAGUCUAAAUUGCUUUAUUUCUAUUGUUAUAAAGUGAGUAAAAAUGAGCUUUAAAUCCCCAGCAUUCUGCUCCCCACAUGCCUGCUCUGCUUAACAUGGCUAUAGCUCUUCUUAAAGUACAGUUUUCUGAACUAUAAAUUGCUGAACAUGACUAUUCCAUGCGUUAAAAUGACACAAUCCUUGCCUGGGGCAGAGUUGUCACAAACUGCGAGCUUGGAUGUGAGUUUUCCAUAUUUGAUAUCUGUCAGAUGGGCACUCUAGGAAUGUCCCCCCACCUUCCCCAACACUGUUCCAGCCGCAAACAGAACGCACUGACCAGCAGAGGCAGCCUCACUCGGUGGCACACACCCUUCUGUCUCCUGCUAGGUCAGAGCAAGGUACCUUUUUUCCCUCUGAGGAUUUGCUGCUCCAUCUCCUGGAAGUCCUGAAUUCACUGAAAUUAUCACUUCAUUAUCACAGAAGAAAAUAAUGUCUCUUGCUAUGUUUUAGAGAAACGACUUUUGCUCUUUUUGUUCAGUUCUAACACCAACUUUAGAUUUUCCAAUUUCUUUUUAGAACCUUUGUAUAAAACUAAGUUGAAAUAUGAGUGCGCACCCUGGAAACAGGGCAGGGAUGUGAGAUUCGUAAGCUGCUGAUUCAUGAACUGUACCCGCAACCGCCCUGAUGGCUUUGUUCUUCUUGAGACCUCUGGCUGCUAUUAAACAAUUCAUA